CAGAGGGGGCAAGCGUUGUUCGGAAUUACUGGGCGUUAAGGGCGCGUAGGCGGCCUGCUAAGUCGAACGUGAAAUCCCUGGGCUCAACCCAGGAACUGCGUCCGAUACUGGAAGGCUUGAAUCCGGGAGAGGGAUGUGGAAUUCCAGGUGUAGCGGUGAAAUGCGUAGAUAUCUGGAGGAACACCGGUGGCGAAGGCGACAUCCUGGACCGGUAUUGACGCUGAGACGCGAAAGCCAGGGGAGCAAACGGGAUUAGAUACCCCGGUAGUCCUGGCCCUAAACGAUGAAUGCUUGGUGUGGCGGGUAUCGAUCCCUGCCGUGCCGAAGCUAACGCAUUAAGCAUUCCGCCUGGGGAGUACGGUCGCAAGGCUG
rnacentral:rRNA from 1 species